rnacentral:pre_miRNA from 1 species
AAGAACGGCUGCUGGCAGUUUUUAAUUCAAUGUUUAACUUUUUGUCUUAUUUGAAUUUUUACGAUUAACAUUUUUGUUGUUAUUAGAUAAUAAAACAUGAAUAAUAUUUUAUACGUGACUAAUUUUUUAAUUUUUUAUAAAUUUUUAAACUAAGAUGGAUGGUUAACCGCUGAAGACAGAAAUCUAUUAAA